rnacentral:rRNA from 1 species
GACGAACGCUGGCGGCGUGCUUAACACAUGCAAGUCGAACGAAGCGGCGAACGGGUGAGUAACGCGUAAUCAACAUGCCCAUCAGAGGGGGAAAACAGUUGGAAACGACUGCUAAUACCGCAUACGGAUGGAGGGGGUUGCGGCGGAUUAGCUAGUGGGGGGGGUAAUGGCCCACAAAGGCGAUGAUCAGUAGCCUGUCUGUGAGGGUGAACUGGCACAUUGGGACUUAGACACGGCCCAGACUCCGUCGGGAGGGAACAGUGGGGAAUCUUCCGCAAUUGACGAAAGUCUGACGGAGCAACUCCGCGUGAGUUAUGACGGCCUUCGGGUUGUAAAGCUAUGUUAAUCGGGACGCGUUACCGGAAUAGAAAGCCACGGCUAACUACGUGCCAGCAGCCGCGGUAAUAC